GAGAAAUCUCUUUCUAAGAACAAAAACCCAAACAAGAUCUUUGGGUAUUUAAAGUUUGGAUUUUGCAAAUAAAAAUAUCUCAUUUAAUAAAAUAAAUCAUAAAACAGUGAAUUAAAAGUGUAGUUAAAAAGAAGCAUAAUUAAUUCAGAACAACGAGAUUUUAAAUAUGAAAUUGUCAUUUAAAACAAAAUCCCUCCAAAUCUAUUUCAUCAUAAUAAUAUGAGUCAUACAUAAGAACAAACGUAUAUACGCAUCGUACAUAGAAAUAUUAGAAAAGAGUGUUUAUUAAUAAUAAAGUAAGCAUGUACAACUCGACAGAACACGUUACUGGCAAUAAAAGUCUCACAAAUGGAGUAGUAUAUGCAACUCCGCAGAAAAAUCUUGCAAAAGCUGAAUCGAAAGUAAUUGGGAAUUUUACAAAAAAUCAAGAACUUUACGCCCCUUCAAAUCAAUCAAGUUCAUUUGCUAGCAGAAGUCGAAUAACAUCGAACGAGCGAGAUCAAAAUUUUUACCGAAAAACAAAUGUGGGACAUGCGACAAGUUCCCAUGACACAGGACAAAACAAAAACGAUAGCUUUUUCGAUAUGCUUCAAGAUUAUCAACCGGCAGUUCUUGGAGUUAUAGGUACCAAUCAACGAUCUCCUGGACCUGCCGAAUUCAUGCAAGAUAAAGAAAUCAAACACCAGCCCAAUUAUGCCACAAGUAAAGAUACUCAUGAUAAUACAAACCACCAGAAUGAUUCUAGUUGUUCACAUGUUAAGAUUUCACGUGAUCUUAAAGUGAAAAAUAAAAUACAUCGGUUUUUAGUUCAUCCGAAAUCUAAAAGUGAUGACAAUGGUCUAUUAGGCUUAUCAAUAUUGACCAAAAACAUCGCAAUCAGUGAAGACAUCACAAAGCAAACGCAUUCCGUCUCAUUAAUAAAAAGAACCUUUUUGUCACCUGAAGAUAUGCAAGAACAGCAAAGAAAAAGGUCUUUUGGUCAUUAUGAUUGCCAAAGUUUGGCUGCAAUUGUGAACUAUGAAAGAGCCAACAGAAAAAUAUCGAAUAGUAAUAUUCGAUCUUCUGCAGACAUAACAAAGCCUUUAAAAUCAAUCUCCCCCGAAUUAAAGAAUUCCUUUCAAGAAUUGAACCAUGGAAAUGAGCUUUUAGAAAGCUGCUCUCAUUUUUGUAAUGAAAUAGGCGGAGAUAAUGAUGGUCGGUUCGGUUCUAAAAAAUCAAGGGCACUUAGUAAAAGACCAAUAACUCCUUGUAGUGUUUCGAUAUUGGAAUCACUACCAAACGAAACCCUCUGGAGAGUUGGUGUUUGUCCAUUUCAAAGCGACUCUUGCCCCAUCGAAUCUGUCGACCAUGGAGCUCAUUACUACAAGCGUUACUUUUACAAUCAAAAACACGAAAACUGGUUCGGGAUUGACGAUAAUUUAGGUCCAGUUGCUAUUUCAAUUAAAAAGGAAAAAAUUAACGAUGUCUCCAAUGAUCCACAUUCAUCUCAACCACGAUAUCACUUUCGAAUUAUAAUAAGAACUUCGGAGCUUUUAACCCUUCGUGGACUGGUAUUGGAGGAUUGCAUCAUUAAUUCUCGUGUUUCAGCAAAGUCCGCAACCUCCAAAGAACUAGUGGAAUAUAUUGCACCAGAUAUUCAAUUAAAUUGUCUUAGAUUGGGUGUAAGCUCUAAUAAUUCAGAGCAACAAUUACUUAAACUCGAUGAACAGGGUCUACAAAGUAAAUAUAAAGUUGGGAUAUUAUACUGUCGUAGUGGUCAAUCUUCUGAGGAGGAUAUGUACAAUAAUGAGCACGCUGGCCCAGCUUUUACAGAAUUUCUAGAUAUAAUUGGAAAACGUGUAAGACUGAAAGGCUUCCAACAAUACAAAGCUGGGCUUGACAAUAAGUCCGACUCUACAGGAACACACUCUAUUUAUGCAUUUUAUAAGAACUGUGAAAUUAUGUUUCAUGUGUGUACAAUGCUUCCCUUCACUCCAAAUAAUCGACAACAGCUGUUACGCAAAAGGCACAUUGGAAAUGAUAUUGUCACAAUAAUAUUUCAAGAGCCAGGUGCUUUACCUUUUGAUCCCAAUAACAUACGCAGUCAGUUCCAGCAUGUGUUUUUGAUUGUGAGAGCAGUUAAUCCGUGCUCUAACAAUACAACUUACCGCGUAGCGAUAACGCGCUCCAAAGAGGUUCCAGUAUUUGGUCCACCUUUACCAGCUUCAGCACUGUUUUCAAGAAACAAAAUGUUUGCCGAAUUUAUUUUAGCGAAAACAAUUAACGCUGAAAACGCUGCUCAUCGUUCUGACAAAUUUGCUAACUUGGCUAUUAGAACACGCCGAGAGUACUUAAAAGAUCUGUGCAUUAAUUACUGCACGAAUACUUCGAUAGAUCCUGGAAAUAAAUUUUCCAUUUUCCCAAACAGAAAGAAGGAAAAAAUGAAAAUUCAGUUUUACGGCGAUUUAUCCCAACGUGGAGCAAUUUGCUGGCGCAUAAUGCUUCAAGACCAUGGAUUAGAUCAAGAAAGCGAUUGUUUUCUUGGUAUUUCCACAGAGACCUUUGUAAUUAUUGAAGGAUCAUCGAGGACAGUUAUAUUUUCAAUGCCAACUCGUUCCAUUCUCGGUUGGACGAUAUAUGAUGACUCUUUUAGAAUAUUUUAUCAUAACGGUGAAUGUAUAACAUUCAAUAUGUUUUAUAAAGGAGCACGAGAGGAGGAACAUCAGCAAGUAAUUGAGCGAUUGAAUUCGGUUACAUUGGGAAAUGGGGCUUUAGAAUUAAAUAUGAGAAGAAACAUGAUGGGACAGUUGGGUUUUCAUGUGCAGCCAGAUGGUAUAGUAACACAAGUUGAUGCCACCGGACAGGCUUGGGCUUCAGGUAUGCGGCGAGGAUACCGUCUCGUUGAGGUGUGUAAAAUUGUUGUGGCUACUCUUUCGUAUGCAGAAUUGAUUGACCUGUUAAAGACAUCAGCCCAAAUGAAUGCAAUUGUGAUAAAAUCAGUGUCCGAUGGCAACACACGCCUUGGAUGCUUUAAUAAAAAUUGUAAAGUUAAUAUCUUGAGCCAAGAAUUCAUUCAUUCUUCAUCGAAUAAAUUUCUUUUGGAAAAAGAUGGCUAUCGUGUAAAGAGUUUUCUGCGAAAAGAAGCAUCCCAGCAUCCAACACAGAGUUACAAUAGUAGUGGAUCAGGAUCAUAUGAACAACGGUCUCUUCCUCACAAGUCGAAAAAUAACUCAGUUUACAAUACGCAAAGCAGUUGCUUUUCAUCCAAUUCAUUAGGCGAUGAGUACAAAAAAUCAUUGCAGCAUUCCAAUUCAAGUUCACCGCAUUCGCUUCAAAACGGCAAAUGGUACGACACAUUGGAAGAUCCUGAACAUAAUAAAAAAUCUCAAUAUGGAUCAAACCAUCAAUAUUCCCUCAAGUCAUUUGAAAGUUCUUUGAAUUUUAACGAAUCAUCUGGAAUGAAAUUAAAUCCGAACACGUCCCAUUUGACCCCUGGUGAUGGAUCAGAGCUGCAAUCGUGGUUGCAAUCACAAUCAGAUAAUCGAAAAUUGCAAAACCGAAGAGCUGAAUACGAAUUGACUGGAUUUAAGAGUGUUAACUCAUCUCCAAAUGAAAGUUACAACUUCGAUAAGGGUGUCAGUACAAGCUAUUCAGAAUAUGCCGAACACACCAAAAUUUCUGAUACACAAGCAGGGCUCAAAAAUAAAAACAAUUUUCCAGAGCUACCUACUUUUCCAUCUACUUCCACAGCCAAAACAGCUAAAGUUGGCGGCGUCUUAAAUGGUUUUAGUACAUCAAUGAAUAGUUUUCAGAAAAGCACUAGAAAUUACCCCGCAACUAAUCAAUUCCGUCCAGAUUUACUCGAAAUAAUAAGCCCCCAUUGUUUUUCUCACUACGACAGAUUGCAAGCUAAUAUAAUUCCAGUUGUUGAGAGAGAAAGCAAUAUGCGGAUACCAGAUGAUAGUUUAACAUCACCUACAACAAAUAUCCUUAGAAACGUUGAAAAGCAGCAAACGUUUGCCGCUGGCAAUAGCGUUAAAAAGCAUCAGGCCAAUCUGAGUGCCAGUGAGAGUCCGACAAGGCACAAACCAAAAAGCAGUCAGGAUCAUAGUAUUGCGUCUACAGCACUUCCUCUACUGCCAUACUCAAACAAAUUAGACUGGACAACUCUGGUUGACACUGCCACCAAAGCAAUUAUUCUUCAGCACAGGGAUGACAACAGUUGAAAGUAAAACCUUUCUCAUCAGGAAUUUAAUUACGUUUCUGCGAUGUUAAGAAAACAAAUUCUAGAAGACUGAAGAGACAAAAACGAUAUCAAACCGCAAACGGUGGAAAAACGUGAACCUGCUGUUUUCAGAAUUGUUUUGCUUCACUUACUUUGAAAAACAUAUACAAAGUGACAAUUUCAGACAAAAAACGCCCAAAAGUAGAAAAUAUUUCAACCGCUUGUGCCGCGUUACGUUCUCUUUACGAUUGUCGAAAUAAAGGAUGAGCUUAAAAGCAACAUUGUGAUAGGUUGGAAGGGAUUUGUAUGGUUCAACUUUAAACUUCACUCAACGCUAACACAAAGUAUCUUUGUGUUUUCCGCUUAACAGUGCUUUAUCAAUACACAGUGGCUAAAUUUUAAUUCCAAAUAUAAAUCACACUGCCAAAGUCAACACGUCUGUUCUUAUCCAAAGUUUAAAGCACAAAAUCGACUGACGGCAUCUAUUAUUCUUCUACUUAAUAUUGACAUGUAUGAAACAACGAACAUACUCGUGAAAAUCCCCUCUUCUCUUUCUAAUCAGUUACAGCAGUAUAAAAUUUAGGUUAUAUUUGUUUGUGUUUGGUCAAUUGACGGAAUAAGAAUGCAUGUAUGAAAUGCAUGUGUAGGAAGAACAAAGUUCGUUAUUUUUUCUGGGAUUUUAUAUUUAUAUUUAUUUUUCCUAAAAAUAUUAUGUAAGCAACCUCACAAAUGUAAUCAGCAUAGCUUAAGCCGAAUAGCGAUGUAAAGAUCCUUAAAUAAAGAAAAACUCAUUUUAGACUUAAGACCCUUAUAACACAAAUGUAAACAAAAUAAACAGAGCCAAUCUAACGAAGCAAAAUCCAUUUUUAGCUAGUGAAUAAAAAUACUAGAGUUAAGAAAUAAUUUAAUUACUGUAAAUAUUUAUUAUUAAUAAACUUAUGUAAAAAUAAUUUAGCAUAAAUAAAAAAAUGCUGUAAUUAAAAACAA